GCCUGGCUGGCUUGGUCUGUAGAGCAUGUGACUCUUAAUCUCAGGGUCGUGAGUUCAAGCCCCACUUUGGGUG
rnacentral:tRNA from 1 species